rnacentral:tRNA from 1 species
GCGGGCGUAGCUCAGUUGGUAGAGCACCGGCCUUCCAAGUCGGUUGUCGCGGGUUCGAACCCCGCCGCCCGCUCCA